CCUGUCGUCGCCCCCGCGCCUGGGAUGCGGCCUCUCGGGUCGUAGUCACCCUCGCCCGCGCCUCCGCCCACCACCGCCCCGUUCCCGGUCGCUGCCGCCACCGCCGGGGCUCAUGCGGGACCCGCGCCGCCUUCUCCGGAAGCCGGGCCGGGACACGGCGCGCCUGGGCCGCCGAGAACCCGACGCUCGUCGCCAGCCGCCGCUGUCGGUGCGCGCCGAGGGGUUGCGGAGCCGCCUGGCAGGGGCUGCAGGCCGCGAGCGACGCCGAGGAGGCGCUGAGGGUCGGCGGAGGCGAAGCUAAGCGGGCAGCGGGCGGCUGCGCAGCGGCGGGGCGCACGAGCGAGGGCUGGGUGGUGCGUCGCGGUCUAGGCGGAGAGGGAGCGGGCCCUGUCGUCUCCCAGAGUCACCCCGAUCCCAGCGCCACCAUCUUGGGAGGAACACUGAUCUCGCGACCGCGGCGCCAAACGGGAGGACGGGCUGGGCGGGCCGAGUAUCCCGGCAGGCAGCGCGCGCCGCCCGGCCGGGCGAGGGCUUCAAGCCGAGACGCGAGGAGUCGGGGCCGGACGGAACGCACGCGGAGGGCGCCGCGCUCGGCCCCACCCCCGGCCAGCUCGCCCCCCUCCGGCUUCCCGUCGCCCCCGGCGCAGGGGCGGCUGGGAAGGGGAGAUGAGGGCUCGCGGCUCGGCCGAACCCACCGGGGCCGGCCGCCAUCUUAGGACUGGGCAAAGGGGUUAACACUCACCUCACUCUGUGCUGUCGGUGGCCGAGCAGAAAGAACCAGAACUCUGCCAGGCCUUGAGAAGCAAUAAAAGAUCGACAAUCUCUAUCCCUGCUCUCAAGAAAUCAGUUCAAAAGGAAGUAAAAGUUGUGCUCUAAAAGGAGUGGAGCGAAGCCUGAUGGUGGCAUGCACCUGUAGUGCAAACUGUUCAGGAAGAUGGAUCAAGAGAUCACUUGAGCCCGGUUCAAGACUUCAAGGCCAGCCUAGGCAACAUAGCAAGGCCCUAUCUCAAGAAGGAAGAGGAGGAAAGGAAGAAAUGGAAUGUCCCCUUGCCAUUUCCCUCUGUCCCUUUCUGGUGAUUGGAAUGUGGUAAUAUUGAGCUAUCUUGGGGGGUUUGAAUGAUGUCCCCAUUGUGGUGGUAUUAACAGGCAAGGCAUUUGGGGAAGUGAUUAAGUCCUAAGAGACCUGCCUUUGUGAAUAGAUUCAUGUUUUUAUAAAAGACCUGGAAGGGCCAGAGGUGGUGGCACAUACCAGUAAUCCCAGCACUCAGGAAGCUGAAGCAGAGG
rnacentral:lncRNA from 1 species